GGCCGGGUUCUGCGCAACGGUGCACCGUGAACCGAGUCAGGGCCGGAAGGCAGCAGCUCUCAGCGGAUCGCUCCGUGUGCCGCAGGCGACCUGGCCGCU
rnacentral:SRP_RNA from 1 species